CUAGAUCGAUUUUUCGCCCCCGAAAACCCCCAUAUAGCAAAUUUCAUCGAAAUCGUUAGAGCCGUUUCCGAGAUCCCCGAAAUAUAUAUAUGUGGAUUGUCAAAGUAAAUUUUGUAGUGACAGUAAAUUUAGUGCCAUCUUUCGACAGAUGAUUAAAACUUUUAAAACGCCAUUUGACUUUGAUCCUUAUUCUUUCACUGAUAUGUGUUAAAU